GACGAACGCUGGCGGCGUGCUUAACACAUGCAAGUCGAACGGAAAGGCCCUGCUUUUGUGGGGUGCUCGAGUGGCGAACGGGUGAGUAACACGUGAGUAACCUGCCCUUGACUUUGGGAUAACUUCAGGAAACUGGGGCUAAUACCGGAUAGGAGCUCCUGCUGCAUGGUGGGGGUUGGAAAGUUUCGGCGGUUGGGGAUGGACUCGCGGCUUAUCAGCUUGUUGGUGGGGUAGUGGCUUACCAAGGCUUUGACGGGUAGCCGGCCUGAGAGGGUGACCGGCCACAUGGGACCGAGGUACCGGCCAAGCCCCUUCGGGGGGGCAGAGGGGGGAAAUAUGCAAAAUGGGCCGGAGCCUUAAUCAGGAACCCCGCGGGCGGGGAUACGGGCUUUGGGUUGGAAACCGCUUUCGCCUGUGACGAAGCGUGAGUGACGGUAAUGGGUAAAGAAGCACCGGCUAACUACGUG
rnacentral:rRNA from 1 species